GUCGAGAAUCUUUCACAAUGGGGGCAACCCUGAUGGAGCGACGCCGCGUGGAGGAUAAGGUCUUCGGAUUGUAAACUCCUGUCAUGCGUGAACAAGGUUGCUUGGUUAAUACCUGGGCAAAUUGAUGGUAACGCAAGAGGAAGAGACGGCUAACUCUGUGCCAGCAGCCGCGGUAAUACAGAGGUCUCAAGCGUUGUUCGGAAUCACUGGGCGUAAAGGGUGCGUAGGUGGCGUGGUAAGUCAGAUGUGAAAGCCCGGGGCUCAACCUCGGAACUGCAUCCGAUACUGCCAUGCUAGAGUACUGGAGAGGUGACUAGAAUUCUCGGUGUAGCAGUGAAAUGCGUAGAUAUCGAGAGGAAGACCAAAGGCGUAGGCAGGUCACUGGACAGUUACUGACACUGAGGCACGAAGGCCAGGGGAGCGAACGGGAUUAGAAACCCGGGUAGUCC
rnacentral:rRNA from 1 species